UACGUAGGGGGCAAGCGUUGUCCGGAUUUAUUGGGCGUAAAGAGCGUGUAGGCGGCCAGACAGGUCCGUUGUGAAAACUCGAGGCUCAACCUCGAGAUGUCGAUGGAAACCGUCUGGCUAGAGUCCGGAAGAGGAGAGUGGAAUUCCUGGUGUAGCGGUGAAAUGCGCAGAUAUCAGGAAGAACACCCGUGGCGAAGGCGGGUCUCUGGGCAGUAACUGACGCUGAGGAGCGAAAGCGUGGGGAGCGAACAGG
rnacentral:rRNA from 1 species